rnacentral:rRNA from 1 species
UUGAACGCUGGCGGCAUGCUUUACACAUGCAAGUCGCACGGCAGCGCGGGCUUCGGCCUGGCGGCGAGUGGCGAACGGGUGAGUAAUGCAUCGGAACGUGCCCAGUAGUGGGGGAUAGCCCGGCGAAAGCCGGAUUAAUACCGCAUACGACCUGAGGGUGAAAGCGGGGGACCGAAAGGCCUCGCGCUAUUGGAGCGGCCGAUGUCGGAUUAGCUAGUUGGUGGGGUAAAGGCUUACCAAGGCGACGAUCCGUAGCUGGUCUGAGAGGACGACCAGCCACACUGGGACUGAGACACGGCCCAGACUCCUACGGGAGGCAGCAGUGGGGAAUUUUGGACAAUGGGGGCAACCCUGAUUCAGCCAUGCCGCGUGCGGGAAGAAGGCCUUCGGGUUGUAAACCGCUUUUGUUCGGGAAGAAAUCCUCUGGGCUAAUACCCCGGGGGGAUGACGGUACCGGAAGAAUAAGCACCGGCUAACUACGUG